AAAAUAUUAUACUCUUCAGAUAGUAAUUUAUAGGACUUAAUAUUAUUUGCUUUUCACAAUUGUUCAAAAAUUCCACCCCAAAUCAUCAAUUUUCCUCUUGCCGAAAACAGCAGGGAGCCACCUUAACUACAACAACAAAUCACGUGCCCCUCCAGACCUAUAACCUAUUUGAAUAGUGACACAAAACACCUGUGACGUCACAGUGCAGGGCAUAAUAACUGUAUUUGCACCUGCUUAAUACUGGUGGCACCACAGUAUAUGUACUAACUCUACCUUUCACAGUUGUAGGGCUGUUCCAAUUGAACUGGUGCAGAGUAUUGGUCCAACAAAUCUUGUAAAGGUAAUCCCUGGUAAAUUGUGGUUAAAAGAACAGAUGAGUUUCCAGUUAUUGAAUAAUGUUCAAUUGAGUUUUGUUUAUUAAUGUAAUACUGAAAUGUGUCCACGUGUGCAUUUACCUAUUAUGCUGUUCAAACCAUUUUAUCUACCGUAACAUUAAGAAAAAUUGCUGGUGGUAAAUACUCAAGAACUGAGAGGUCAUUUCAAAAUGCACUAAAUUAUUUUGUUACUUUUUAACACUAAACACAAUCCUUUUCUGAACUCCAAGGUGGCUAAUUUACACAUCCAAAUAAUCUCACACUACCUCACAAAGAAAUUAUGAAUGCUUGCAUGGAUCUAGCACUGACAAUGACUUUCUAUUUCUUUGGGUAUAUAUAUAUACCUUUGUUAUAGAUAAUGGAAGCACUGUCUCAGUGGCACAGUUACUUGUAGUAUUGUCACACUCGCUGCAUAAAAUUUCACUCCUGAGUGAGAAGCAAAACGAAUUCAGAAAUUCAAGGCUACAAUAUCGUGGUAUAAGAUCCGUUGAUUGCAGAUGAUGAGCUUUUUCCUCCAAAAUCCUCCAAAAUGAUUGGAAAAAUUCGGCUGAACAUUGCUGUGAACCUUUGACAAAACCACUCAUAAUUUGGGGCAAGCAAGAAAGCAUUGCUGCUGGUCGAACAACUUGUGGUGCUCCAUUGUACAGUUUGAAGACAUUCAUUGUACUGCAUAUUAUACAUUUUGUUCCUGAAUGAAUAUCAAAUGAAUACCAGAUAUCAUUACAAAAUAUUACUAUUACCAUGUAUUUUUGUCAUUGUCAUCUUAAAUCUUUUUUACAAAUAUAAUGUA